rnacentral:rRNA from 1 species
AUUGAACGCUGGCGGCAUGCCUUACACAUGCAAGUCGAACGGUAACGGGCCUUCGGGUGCCGACGAGUGGCGAACGGGUGAGUAAUGCAUCGGAACGUACCUUUCAGUGGGGGAUAACGUAGCGAAAGUUACGCUAAUACCGCAUAUUCUGUGAGCAGGAAAGCAGGGGAUCGCAAGACCUUGCGCUGAUUGAGCGGCCGAUGUCAGAUUAGCUAGUUGGUGAGGUAAAGGCUCACCAAGGCGACGAUCUGUAGCGGGUCUGAGAGGAUGAGCCGCCACACUGGACCUGAGACACGGUCCAGACUCCUACGGGAGGCAGCAGUGGGGAAUUUUGGACAAUGGGGGCAACCCUGAUCCAGCCAUGCCGCGUGAGUGAAGAAGGCCUUCGGGUUGUAAAGCUCUUUCGGUCGGGAAGAAAUCGCAUGGGUUAAUACCCUGUGCGGAUGACGGUACCGGCAUAAGAAGCACCGGCUAACUACGUGCCAGCCGCCGCAGUAACAC